CGCGGGGAUCAGGGCGGGUGGUGGGAAGGAAAUGUAGAAAAGUGGCAUAUGGGGACCGGAGAGAAGCGGCGACGGAACGUCCCCGUGCGCCGGCCCUGAGGGUGUCCCAGCGCCCCGGGAAGGAGAGUUCAGAGAACGGAUCCUCCGCUCGGGGCUGCCAUCGGCUCUGCAGUUACUUCCCUGCUCGGUGAAACUCGGGAAGACGGUGCAGCGCAGCGCGGGGACGGACUGCGGGGCCGCCGGGCGGAUCGGGGCUGCGGGAGCGCCCACGGGCGGGGGGGGAUCCGAGCAGCGCCGGGAAGCGAGGGAUUCCUGGAAUCGCAUUGUAUUCGCAUCACUCUUCCGAUAGCAGCCACGCGAGGAGAAAGAAAAAAAAGCGGCAGACACCUGCAGAGCAGAACUGAAGGACAGAUGCACGGGCCACAUUUCAGAGUGCAGCACACACCGCAGCCCAACCUAGGGGUCACACAGCGGUUUCCAUUUCCUCCUGUGCAUCUCUAGAGAGUCCUGCAGAGCUUCCCUUCCUCCCGCGGCACAGACACAGCGCUUUCUGAAGAACUUCCUCAGAAAUGCACAAAGGAUGCCGCGGCCCCACAGCUCCAUCCCCACUUCCAGGCUGACAGCACAGAGCACCGCCUGUACAACGCCCCGGGGGAGGACUCACACCGAUGGCACCCCGGGGAGGCAGCGUUUCAGAAGAACGUAUCACUGCAUUUUCAGCUGCUGGUGGCAUUUCCCUUACUGCAGUCGAUAUUGAUUUCCUCGAGACACCGCUGUGUGAGGACCAAUCCCAGCCCAAUCCCUUUUGUCUCAGAUAAACUCGGAUGAAUGCAGCAUUCGGGUAGGUAUCAUUCUCCCAAAGCACGCCGACCCCAAGGAUUUGGUGACCCCAGAUUUCCUCACUCUCCACCUGACAGCAAACUGCGAUGUUUCAUUUCACUUCAUUUUUGGUGAGAAAUGAGGUAUUUCACAGUCUGAACUGGCUUUGAUGCCUGAUAUCGCUGUCACCGAAUUGCUGCAGUGUAGGAAAAAGGCAGCAAAAAAUACCCAAUGAGACAGCCAAAAUUAACCUUAGUCACCCAAAGUAACGGUGUUUGAGCCAUAAAGCUCUGCACAGCGCAGGUAGCUGUGAUACCCAGGAGCAGCAGCUCCUCAGUGAAGGGCUGACUGCCACUGGGGAAGGAUCUGUGUGUAUGUGGGGGUGGGGGGACUGUUGAGUCAUGGUCUGACCCACUGAUGGAGCACGUGGGGAAAGGACCCGGUCAGCCCUGGGAGCACAGGUGAAGGCAAUUCAGCUGUGUGACUGGAAGGGGUGGAGCCUGACUGCACCCCUCUUAGACCUCAAUGAAGGGCUGACCCCUCCUGGGGAAGGAUCUUUGGUUGGAUGUUCCUCCCUGGUGGAGUCUUUUCUGUGAGCCUCAAUCUCUGGGAAUGGUGAGCACCUUUCCUUUCCCUUUGAAAUACCAUUCCGUCCCCGUUAGUCCCUUUGCUGUUCCGCUCCUGUACUGCCCUUCCACUGUGUUAAUCCUUCUGAUUGUAACAGUGUGUCGUUGCUGUUGGGUGCUUUUGGUAAAAACAGGAUUAAUAUUUAAUGUGCAGUUUUAGGGAUUUUUGUGAGGAUGAAAGAACUUAGUGCCACAGCGGGUUCUUAGCGUGUAACAAUGCUGUGGUUGUUUUUUAACUUCAAAAAGCAAACAUCCAUAAAUAAAUAACGUUUUCCUUCCGACUGGAAGCUGUCCCCGGCACCGCCAGUCCUGGGAGGCACAGCAGGGGGAGCUGGGAGCCUUCUGUCCGGAGGAGGCUCAAGGGAGACCUCAGACGUCCCCCUGAAAGGAGGCUGUAGAGAGGUGGGGGUCGGCCUCUUCUCCCGUGGAACAGCGAUGGGACGAGAGGGAACGGCUUCACGUUGCCCCAGGGGAGGUCCCCGUUGGAUAUUAGGAAGAACACCUCUGCUGAAAGAGCGGUCGGGCACUGGCACAGCCGCCCGGGGAGCUGCGGGAGUCAGCGUCCAUGGAGGUGUUCCAGGACCGUGGGGAUGUGGCACUGAGGGACGCGGGCAGUGGGCA
rnacentral:lncRNA from 1 species